UACGUAGGGUGCAAGCGUUGUCCGGAAUUAUUGGGCGUAAAGAGCUCGUAGGCGGUUUGUCGCGUCUGCUGUGAAAACUCGGGGCUUAACCCUGGGCCUGCAGUGGGUACGGGCAGACUAGAGUGCGGUAGGGGAGACUGGAAUUCCUGGUGUAGGCGGUGAAAUGCGCAGAUAUCAGGAGGAACACCGGUGGCGAAGGCGGGUCUCUGGGCCGUAACUGACGCUGAGGAGCGAAAGCGUGGGGAGCGAACAGG
rnacentral:rRNA from 1 species